CAGCUAGUUGUAUAUUAACUUAACGAUACAAAAUCCAAAUUUAACUAGUAGAAGUUAAAUACAAUUCCAAAACAAAAUUGGGGAAAUAUUUGGAAAAUUGAAACUUCAACCAAAUAUGGCUAAAGAGAGUUAACAAAAUUUGGAGGUUUUGUAAUUAAUAAUUGGUAUCAUGAAAUUGUCGCUUGAUAGUGUAUAUGAAAUAUGUUUGUUUUUGUAAAAAAGUGUUGACAUUUCUGUAAAAUAAAUAAUUUUUUUCUUCUAA